CCGACAACAGAAGACGCCCGGCAGCCACCUCCUCGCCCUGCCCGUCAAGACACGAGCGUGUGGCACAGGGACCCCUAAAGGAACAGCUUCCUCCAGUCAGCGUGGCAGCACCCUCUCCAUUAAGAGGACAAAUGAGCGGCAAAUGAGGAGGAAAACACCUCGUUCAGAGAGAGAUGGCCCAGAUGGGAAAAGAGGGCCAUGAAGUUUGCUAUUCCAAGAAUUUGGCAGGAACCCACUGACCACUCAAGCAACUGCUACGUCUGCAUGGUGGACCCUUCCAAACGUGGGACAGGUAAGAAUGGACCUGCUAUCAUCCAUAGCCCCGGUGCCACGCUGCCAUGAGCUCCCCGUACCCACUCCUCCGGAGAGAGAGCAGCCGUCUUUAGAAGAGAGCAGCAAGUUAGAGAGCGAGGAAGAUGUUGUAGAUCCAG